UGCAUAUCAAGGACUAUACAUUAUAAUUAUAAACGAUUGAUCGAUCAGUUAUGGUUGGCAAUUGUGCCAACUUGGAUGAAGGGCAGAAAUUUACACUGCGACUUUAAAAAGAUGGUCUUUUGGAUAGAAGCAGAAAUUUUUCUAAAGGUCGCCUAAGGACCCCUCAACAGUAUACUUUUGUACUUAUAUGCACGGCAUAAUAACAUAUAUGGCAUGUUGGAUGCUAUGGGACCUUGUAUAUCUAAUGUAAAAGAACAUGAGAAAAGUUUGAAGACACCAAGGGAUAAUAGAGCAAGCAGAAAUCCUUCCUGGAAGGAGGGCGGACAACACAAUAGCAAAAAGAAACAAGUAGAAGAAAUAAUAAUCAUAAAACACAUUAAAACUAAAGAGUGGGCGAAGACACUACAGGACCUUAACCGCAAAUUCUUUGUUUAUGGAACAUUCGAAUUGAGAGUUGAAUAUAUUCAGUUUAUACGAAAAGAUUGAAACAAUAUAUGCAUUGUAUUGACCACAGGAUAAGAACAUGUUUUACUACCUUAAUAUAUAGCAAGGAUAAAACGAGGACAAAAUAAGAUGUAGAUUAUAUGUCUAUCAUAUCUAUAAGACACAAAUCAAACGAAAAAAAAAUGUCGGUCGAAAGUCAGUCUUCGAACAAAUGGGGUCAAAUGAACAGGAAACAAUACCUAGAAACUUUUUAUGGCAUCGAACAAAGCAUGUCUCACUCCUUCCAAAACAGUCUAAGAUAGCAGCCAUCUAUAUCAGGAAUCAGGAAAAUGUAAUAAAAUCCUUACUAGUAGGAACAUAAGGAGAAUGAUAUGAUUGCCAGUGAGACAACCAUUCGCCAGAGUAAAAAUGACGUUGAUGCAAGCAUCUAUAGGACACCGCGCGGCCUCCAACCAUGAACAAAACACAGACUGUAUACCGAAAAUCAGGCAUUAGUUAUGAAAGAACUAAACCAGAAAAACCAACGGGCUGAUCGAUGAAAAGGAAUAAACGAAAGACAAAUAUGACAGACAGCAACAGCCACGGAAUCACAGGCUCCUAACCCGUAUAGACACGCAAAGAAUGGGCGGGAUCAAACAUGUCUGCAAGUACCACUGUUUUAUACUGUACCUGUUCAUUCGUAAAUUCUUGAAAAAAAAAAGUAUGAAGACAGUCUAAACUGUGGUGAUGUUUUUGGUAAAAGUAUUUUAUUCAAACUGUUUACCACUUGCAUUGAACUCAGAGAAGACAAUUAGUUCCUUCCCGUCUGUACAAAAAAAUGGAAAACCUAACCAAGAAUUACAAAAUUCAGACCAAUCAAUAGGUAGUGGUGUAUUAUCAACGGGAACAAAACCAUAAACAGUUUCAUGAUAAAAUUCAUUGUUUAAGUAAAACUUUAUGUUGCAAAUCAAAACAAAAUAGUAGUUUAUCGAUGUUCAAGUGUCAUAAACACUAAGAAGGUACAAAUCAAGGUAUAAAACAAAAAAUGAGAAAAUUGCGUUAACCAGGUGCAUCGGCAGGAUAAGUGUCCCCUGCUAUGCAUGCAUAACACACCAUGGUAAUCCUCACUUAGUUAAAAUGUCUAAAUCGGGAAUAAGACACAAUAAGCAGAUUUACAGACCAGACGACUAUAAUGGUAUCUAAAGAACGAAGACCGCGAACACAUGUCGCUAUUGUGUUAAGAAACACAUACAUCGUAUCUGUAAAACAAAAUAUGAUGGUGACCGUAAAACUUAUGUAGUGUCUGUUUCAGUCGUUUUUCCUCAUAACUUAUAUGGAGCCGAUCUUUCGCCAGAAGCACACCUAAAUAGAAAUGAAAACUGACUUAAAAGUAUCAAUUUACGAAGAUGCUAUCAGAAAUCGAAUCGAAGGAACACGAACAACACUAUUUGCUAAAAAAAUAGUUUAUUGGUAGUUCUGGUCUAUUAAACUUUUUCACAAUUUGUCUCGAUUUGUGGAAUAACAAAAGCUACACUGCAAAACGCAAUAAUGUAAAUCAUUUAAGAAAACCACAUAUCUCGAUCAUGUUGGCAUUUCAGUCGAGAAUACAGGUACACAUUUAACAUAAUAAACUGGAAGCUUUGAGUAACCUGUAUCGUUAUUUACGCACAAUAUUGACUACUGUACAUUUUAUAAAGUAUGCCAACAGUCGUGAACCAUGCCACACACAAGUCUCCUACAAAUUUCCUUUUUUCAAAAUCACAAAGAACCCAAGAAAAUGGUAAACGAAGAACUUCAUAAUAUUAUUCUAGCUAAGUCCGACUGUCCAGCAGUUUGAGGAAAAAAAAAUAGUUCAACACCAAGAAUAUCCAUUCUUAAUGACUGUGGGCAGCAAAUAACUUUUACAGACGCUAGAAA